rnacentral:miRNA from 1 species
AUCCGAUGGAUCCAAUGGAUGCGAUGGAUCCAAUGGAUCCGAUGGAUAUCUAUUUAUCCAUCGGAUCCUUUGGAUCCAUCCGAUCCAUUGGAUCCAUCGGA